rnacentral:rRNA from 1 species
CGUAAACAAAGGGAGGCGAAGGCGCGAGCCGGAGNGAACCCCAGAAACAAAGUCCCAGUUCGGACUGCAGUCUGCAACCCGACUGCACGAAGCUGGAAUCGCUAGUAAUCACGGAUCAGCAUGCCGCGGUGAAUACGUUCCCGGGUCUUGUACACACCGCCCGUCACACCAUGGGAGCCGGAAAUGCCCGAAGCCUGUGACCCAACCCGCGAAGGGGGGGAGCAGUCGAAGGCGGGGCCGGUGACUGGGGUGAAGUCGUAACAAGGUAUC